rnacentral:rRNA from 1 species
UUUGACCUCAAAUCAGGUAGGACUACCCGCUGAACUUAAAC